rnacentral:rRNA from 1 species
GACGAACGCUGGCGGCGUGCUUAACACAUGCAAGUCGAACGGAAAGGCCCUGCUUUUGUUGGGUGCUCGAGUGGCGAACGUGUGGGUAACACGUGAGAAACCUGCCCUUUACUUUGGGAUAACUUCAGUAAACUGGGGCUAAUACCUGAUAGGAGCUCCUGCUGCAUGGUGUGGGUUGGAAAGUUUCGGCGGUUGGGGAUGGACUCGCGGCUUAUCAGCUUGUUGGUGGGGUAGUGGCUUACCAAGGCUCUGACGGGUAGCCGGCCUGAGAGGGUGACCGGCCACAUUGGGACUGAGAUAAGGCCAAGACUCCUACGGGAGGCAGCAGUGGGGAAUAUUGCACAAUGGGCGGAAGCCUGAUGCAGGAACGCCGGGUGCGGGAUGACGGCCUUCGGGUUGUAAACCGCUUUCGCCUGUGACGAAGCGUGAGUGACGGUAAUGGGUAAAGAAGCACCGGCUAACUACGUG